rnacentral:rRNA from 1 species
UAAUACGGGAGGCAGCAGUGGGGAAUAUUGCACAAUGGGCGCAAGCCUGAUGCAGCCAUGCCGCGUGUGUGAAGAAGGCCUUCGGGUUGUAAAGCACUUUCAGUCGUGAGGAAGGUGGUGUAGUUAAUAGCUGCAUUAUUUGACGUUAGCGACAGAAGAAGCACCGGCUAACUCCGUGCCAGCAGCCGCGGUAAUACGGAGGGUGCGAGCGUUAAUCGGAAUUACUGGGCGUAAAGCGCAUGCAGGUGGUUUGUUAAGUCAGAUGUGAAAGCCCGGGGCUCAACCUCGGAAUAGCAUUUGAAACUGGCAGACUAGAGUACUGUAGAGGGGGGUAGAAUUUCAGGUGUAGCGGUGAAAUGCGUAGAGAUCUGAAGGAAUACCGGUGGCGAAGGCGGCCCCCUGGACAGAUACUGACACUCAGAUGCGAAAGCGUGGGGAGCAAACAGGAUUAGAUACCCUGGUAGUCCACGCCGUAAACGAUGUCUACUUGGAGGUUGUGGCCUUGAGCCGUGGCUUUCGGAGCUAACGCGUUAAGUAGA